rnacentral:rRNA from 1 species
CGCCUUAGGAGCGGCCCGCGUCGGAUUAGCUAGUUGGUGGGGUAACGGCUUACCAAGGCUUCGAUCCGUAGCUGGUCUGAGAGGACGAUCAGCCACACUGGGACUGAGACACGGCCCAGACUCCUACGGGAGGCAGCAGUGGGGAAUCUUGCGCAAUGGGGGCAACCCUGACGCAGCCAUGCCGCGUGAAUGAUGAAGGCCUUAGGGUUGUAAAGUUCUUUUGCCCGUGACGAUGAUGACGGUAACGGGAGAAUAAGCUCCGGCUAACUUCGUGCCAGCAGCCGCGGUAAUACGAAGGGGGCUAGCGUUGUUCGGAAUUACUGGGCGUAAAGCGCGCGCAGGCGGUUCGAUAAGUUGGGGGUGAAAUCCCUGGGCUCAACCCAGGAAUGGCCUUCAAGACUGUCGAGCUAGAGGACGAGAGAGGUGAGUGGAAUUCCCAGUGUAGAGGUGAAAUUCGUAGAUAUUGGGAAGAACACCGGUGGCGAA